AUGGCUCGCGUCGUCGCCGCCGCGCUGCUUCUCCUGUUCCUCCUCCUUGCUUCGUCGUCCGCGGCCUUUGCCGUCACGGUGCUUGGCCGCAAAGGCAGUACCGCGGCGGAGGGGCCCGUGCAGUUUCCGGGGGUGGGCAAGUACACCGUGAUCUUCGAUGCCGGGAGCACAGGCACGCGCGUGCAUGUCUUUAAGUUUGACAACAAGAUGGACCUCCUUGAGAUCGGCGACGACAUCGAUCACAUACCAAAGAGGCUGGGUGAUGCCACGGGCGAUGGCCAACCCUGUGCGUGCGGCGCCUAG
rnacentral:rRNA from 1 species